AUCUUUUUGACCCCUGUGUUUAGGAUGACUCAGGGUUAAACUGUCAACCCUGAUCAGAUCAUUCGAAUCGUGCUCAACUCAAAUAGUCCUGUGACUCCUCACAAGGACUACCCUGGCCAAGGUUUUGCUAAAUUGAAACACGACUGUACGCAGCUCCUAAACUAGAGUGGUCAAUCCCAUCUUGACACACGCACCGACAAGUCAAGUACUUGACUACACCCAGCAGCCUUCCGUCAUUGAAUUAAAAAUUCAGGUAGUCCAGUGCCUAAGUGUAGUGAGUUGCUUGCAAGUCACCGUGGCGGUCUCAGGUCGGAGGGAUAUUUAUAUCCAU
rnacentral:lncRNA from 1 species